rnacentral:rRNA from 1 species
UACAUGGGGUGCAAACGUUGCUCGGAAUUAUUGGGCGUAAAGCGCACGUAGGUGGUCUGUUAUGUCAGAUGUGAAAGCCCUCGGCUUAACUGAGGAAGUGCACCUGAAACUGGCAGGCUUGAGUACGAAAGAGGGUCGCGGAAUUCCCGGUGUAGAGGUGAAAUUCGUAGAUAUCGGGAGGAACACCGGUGGCGAAGGCGGCGACCUGGUGCGACACCGACGUUCAGGCACGAAAGCGUGGGGAGCAAACAGG